CGUGCGAAGGUAGCGCAAUCACUUGUCUUUUAAAUGAAGACCUGUAUGAAUGGUGAAACGAGGGCUUAACUGUCUCCCUUUUCUAGUCAAUGAAAUUGAUCUGCCCGUGCAGAAGCGGACAUAAAAAUACAAGACGAGAAGACCCUUUGGAGCUUAAGAUAUAAAGAUCAUCUAUGUCAAUGGGCCCCAACACGGCAACAAACUAAAUAGCAACUGAUCUUAAUCUUCGGUUGGGGCGACCACGGGAGAAAAUAAAGCUCCCACGCGGACUGGGGUAAACCCUAAAACCAAGAAAAACAUUUCUAAGCAACAGAACUUCUGACCAUUAAGAUCCGGCUACACGCCGACCAACGGACCAAGUUACCCUAGGGAUAACAGCGCAAUCCCCUUUCAGAGUCCAUAUCGACAAGGGGGUUUACGACCUCGAUGUUGGAUCAGGACAUCCUAAUGGUGCAGCCGCUAUUAAG
rnacentral:rRNA from 1 species